ACGGCGCUUCUUUUGAAGUUGACGCGAAGUCGUCCUUAGAGACAUGCGGCGAACAAAAAAAAAUAUAGUUCAUUCACGACCGAAAGAACACGAGGCUGUUCGUGAAACUUCAAGAGUUCGGACAGCGCUAGGCAGAAGCGGCAGCCGUCGCUGCUGCUGCUUCCUCCUCCCCAGACAGCGCCGGAGCUUUCGCGGCCCUGACGCGCAUAUAAUAUAGCCUCUGGCCUCUCGUAUUCAAAGCCGGCUAAGCCAGCAUAGGGAAUCUAGGGCCGCCACAAGCGCAGCACGGGCCAUGCUAAUUCGUCGACACGGAGUCGCGGCCGUGCUGCUUCUGAUACUGGAUGCUGUAGUCAUGCUGGUAGGAGCUAUUACACCGCCCCGUGGCCCCGUAAAGGUGCCCGUCCGGAACGGUAAGUGCAUCUACCGUGGCAAAUCUGUGUGGGAAGCUUACAUCACCCUGGCAGACGGGAAAUGCGUUCAAGCUCGAUGCAAGCCCAAGGAACACCUGCUGCAUUUCAUUCCGAUGAAGGAAUGUAUGCUUCCACCUGCUGGAAGAGGAUGCUUUUAUGAGGACGGCUUCUUGGAGUCGCAAUGCUGCAAGCCGAACAUAAUU